rnacentral:tRNA from 1 species
GGGGGAACAGCUCAGUGGUAGAGCAUGUGCUUAGCAUGCAUGAGGUCCUGGGUUCAUCCCCAGCACCUCCA